GAUGAACGCUGGCGGUGUGCCUAAUACAUGCAAGUCGAGCGAACAGACGAGGAGCUUGCUCCUCUGACGUUAGCGGCGGACGGGUGAGUAACACGUGGAUAACCUACCUAUAUGACUGGGAUAAUUUCGGAGAACAGCUGAUACUAAUGGCUAAUAUAACGAACGGCUUGGUUCAAUAGUGAUUGACGGCUUUGCUGUCACAAAUAGCUGAAUCCGCGCCGCAUUAGCUAGUUGGUAAGGUAACGGCUUACCAAGGCAACGAUGCGUAGCCGACCUGAGAGGGUGAUCGGCCACACUGGAACUGAGACACGGUCCAGACUCCUACGGGAGGCAGCAGUAGGGAAUCUUCCACAAUGGGCGAAAGCCUGACGGAGCAACGCCGCGUGAGUGAUGAAGGUCUUCGGAUCGUAAAACUCUGUUAUUAGGGAAGAACAAAUGUGUAAGUAUCUAUGCCCGUCUUGACGGUACCUAAUCAGAAAGCCACGGCUAACUACGUG
rnacentral:rRNA from 1 species